rnacentral:rRNA from 1 species
AUGGCGGAGCGGAAGCGACGGGAGAAGAUUAACCAGCGCUUCAUCGAGCUCUCCACCGUCAUCCCCGGCCUCAAGAAGAUGCACAAGGCGACGAUCCUUUCCGACGCAACGAGGCACAUCAAGGAGCUGCAGGCGAAGAUCAAGGCCCUCGACGCAGCCACCGGCCGCAGCAGCAGGAGCAUCGAGACCGUGGUGCGCGUCAAGAAGAAGCCGCGCCACGCCGCCGCCGCCCUCGUCCGCGUCGUCCUCUACGGGGAACCCGCUGCCGGAGAUCGAGGUGCGGUUCUCCGAGAACGGCGUGAUGUUGAGGAUCCUCUGCGACGACGUCCAGGGGGUGGUGGUGAGGGUGCUGGCGGAGGUGGAGGAGGGGCUCCACCUCACCGUCACCCACGCCAAUGUCAUGCCAUUCACGGCCUGCACUGUGAUCAUAACCAUCACGGCAAAGGUGGAUGA